GUGUGAAACCCUAUCCUCGCGUUUCCCCCGGGGCGAGCGCUCCCCACCUCGAGGGUCCGGGCGGCGCUUCCCCGAGCCGCGUCGCGUCCAGGCGAGAAGUGCCGCUCCGCCGCUCCUCCUCCGCGUCCAGGCGCCGCCGCCGGCCGGCCCUCCUCCGCCGCAGCUCCAUCCUCGUCGUCUGCCCUCCCCGUCGAGCUACCUCGCGCCAAGCAGCCACCAACCGCCGCCGGCCGCUCCUACGCCCUACCCUGUCUCCUCUCCUCGGACCCUCCCCCACAUCGGCGGUGCCCCGGAGCCGCCUCACCUCGCCGGAUCCGUCCCAGCUCGAACGCGACAAGCCGGCGACCCUUCCCCUCCCCUCCGCCGCAGGCCGCACCGCGCCACCAGGACCUCGCCGGAGCUGACCCACCUCGUGCGCGACAAGCCGGCGGAUUCAGUCUGCAAUCUUAUCCAGUUUCUCUGCUCUGUAUUUGACUGAAAUUGUGAGGCUGAAGCAGCUGUUAGACGAGAAGGCUGAAAAAAAAAGAACUCAAUUAUUAGAUGCUUUCACAUACAAGUAGGGUAGCAGACCUAGCUUAGGUCAUGGUGGCGGAAACGCUUUUUGGUGCUGGAGCAUCUUCCAUGGAGUGAUAAUUCAGUACCCUAUACUACUAGUAUGAGGAUCUGGGGAGCCCUUCAUCUCUCCUCCUUGUCCUCCCCAAAUCGAGCUCCUGCAACUUGGAUGUGUAACUUUUACUCAUUGGAUGUGAUUGUAGUAGCAUACUGAGAACUUUUACUCACAAGUUAAUGAGUAGUACAAGAUUGCUCUUGUUUCUGUA